CGGUCUGGGAUGGGCUCGCGGCCUAUCAGCUUGUUGGUGAGGUAAUGGCUCACCAAGGCGACGACGGGUAGCCGGCCUGAGAGGGCGACCGGCCACACUGGGACUGAGACACGGCCCAGACUCCUACGGGAGGCAGCAGUGGGGAAUAUUGCACAAUGGGCGAAAGCCUGAUGCAGCGACGCCGCGUGAGGGAUGACGGCCUUUGGGUUGUAAACCUCUUUCAGCAGGGAAGAAGCGCAAGUGACGGUACCUGCAGAAGAAGCACCGGCUAACUACGUGCCAGCAGCCGCGGUAAUACGUAGGGUGCGAGCGUUGUCCGGAAUUAUUGGGCGUAAAGAGCUUGUAGGCGGUCUGUCGCGUCUGCUGUGAAAAUCCGGGGCUCAACCCCGGACUUGCAGUGGGUACGGGCAGACUAGAGUGUGGUAGGGGAGACUGGAAUUCCUGGUGUAGCGGUGAAAUGCGCAGAUAUCAGGAGGAACACCGAUGGCGAAGGCAGGUCUCUGGGCCAUAACUGACGCUGAGAAGCGAAAGCAUGGGGAGCGAACAGGAUUAGAUACCCUGGUAGUCCAUGCCGUAAACGUUGGGAACUAGGUGUGGGUCUCAUUCCACGAGAUCCGUGCCGCAGCU
rnacentral:rRNA from 1 species